rnacentral:rRNA from 1 species
AAUAGAUACCCCGGUAGUCCACGCCCUAAACGAUGAUAACUCGAUGUUUGCGAUACACAGUAAGCGUCUUAGCGAAAGCGUUAAGUUAUCCACCUGGGGAGUACGGUCGCAAGAUUGAAACUCAAAGGAAUUGACGGGGGCCCGCACAAGCGGAGGAGCAUGUGGUUUAAUUCGAUGAUACGCGAGGAACCUUACCCGGGCUUGAAAGUUAGUGAAUGAGACAGAGACGUCUCAGUCCUUCGGGACACGAACUAGGUGCUGCAUGGCUGUCGUCAGCUCGUGCCGUGAGGUGUUGGGUUAAGUCCCGCAACGAGCGCAACCCCGUAUGUUUAGUUGCCAGCACGUCAUGGUGGGACUCUAAACAGACUGCCUGUGCAAACAGAGAGGAAGGUGGGGACGACGUCAAGUCAUCAUGGCCCUUACGUCCGGGGCUACACACGUGCUACAAUGGAUGGUACAGCGGGCAGCUACAUAGCAAUAUGAUGCUAAUCUCUAAAAGCCAUUCACAGUUCGGAUUG